rnacentral:snoRNA from 2 species
UGCUCAAUGAUUGAACCAUGUUAAUCAUGGUAAUAUACGCUAUUCUGAGCCACUUGAGGAUGCAUUAGCUUUAUGAGAGCA